AUCGGGGUCACCGUGUCCCGGAUCACGGACCAGGAGAAGGCGAUGAGCAGCCAGUCCUUGACCACGCCGGCCACGUUCAUGGUGAGCGCCGACGUCUUGCCCACGAGCAGGAAGACGGCCAGGUUGAGCGCGAAGGCGCAGAGGGAGUUGGUGCCGAAGACGAAGAAGUCGGGCUCGAACAUGCCCACGGCGCGCAGCCUGGGCAGCUCGACGAAGACCCAGGGCAGGAAGAGGAACCCCAGGCAGCAGGGCGCGACGUAG
rnacentral:rRNA from 1 species